rnacentral:tmRNA from 1 species
GGGGCUGAUUCUGGAUUCGACGGGAUUAGCGAAGCCCAAGGUGCACGUCGAGGUGCGGUAGGCCUCGUAAAUAAACCGCAAAAAAAUAGUCGCAAACGACGAACAAUACGCUUUAGCAGCUUAAUAACCUGCUCAUAGCCUUCUCUCCCAGCUUCCGCUCGUAAGACGGGGAUCAAGAGGAGUCAAAUUCAAACGAGAUCGCGUGGAUGCC